rnacentral:rRNA from 1 species
GACGUAGGGCGCGAGCGUUGUCCGGAUUUAUUGGGCGCAAAGAGCUCGUAGGCGGCUUGUCGCGUCGACUGUGAAAACCCGCGGCUCAACUGCGGGCCUGCAGCCGAUACGGGCAGGCUAGAGUUCGGUAGGGGAGCAGGGAAUUCCUAGUGUAGCGGUGAAAUGCGCAGAUAUUAGGAGGAACACCGGUGGCGAAGGCGCUGCUCUGGGCCGAAACUGACGCUGAGGAGCGAAAGCGUGGGUAGCAAACAGG